rnacentral:SRP_RNA from 2 species
GAUCCGGACUCGCGCGAUCACAACGCCUAAACCUUGUCAGAACCGGAAGGUAGCAGCAACACGGGAUGCUUGUGGUAGGCGCGAACUCCGGGUCUUC